CAGUAGCCACGGGAAUACGGAGGGUGCAAGCGUUAAUCGGAAUUACUGGGCGUAAAGCGCACGCAGGCGGUCUGACAAGUCAGAUGUGAAAACCCCGGGCUUAACCUGGGAACUGCAUUUGAAACUGUCAGGCUGGAGUCUUGUAGAGGGGGGUAGAAUUCCAGGUGUAGCGGUGAAAUGCGUAGAGAUCUGGAGGAAUACCGGUGGCGAAGGCGGCCCCCUGGACAAAGACUGACGCUCAGGUGCGAAAGCGUGGGGAGCAAACAGGAUUAGAUACCCGAGUAGUCCCUGUCUCUAUACA
rnacentral:rRNA from 1 species